rnacentral:rRNA from 1 species
UGGGGAAUAUUGCACAAUGGAGGGAACUCUGAUGCAGCGACGCCGCGUGAACGAAGAAGGCUUUCGAGUCGUAAAGUUCUUUUAUAUGGGAAGAUAAUGACGGUACCAUAAGUAAAAGCCCCGGCUAACUACGUGCCAGCAGCCGCGGUAAUACGUAGGGGGCUAGCGUUGUCCGGAAUCACUGGGCGUAAAGGGUUCGCAGGCGGAAAUGCAAGUCAGGUGUAAAAGGCAGUAGCUUAACUACUGUAAGCAUUUGAAACUGCAUAUCGUGAGAAGAGUAGAGGUAAGUGGAAUUUUUAGUGUAGCGGUGAAAUGCGUAGAUAUUAAAAAGAAUACCGGUGGCGAAGGCGGCUUACUGGGCUCAUUCUGACGCUGAGGAACGAAAGCGUGGGUAGCAAACAGG